CUUGGUGUCGCUCCCGCCGGAGCCUGAGCUACGCCUCCGGUGUUCUCCAUCUUCCACCUCUGGAGCCCCCCGGCGGCGCCCUCACCACCUCUAUUGCCCUGUGAUCUGCAAGUCUUUGGGAAGGCAUAGAUGAGACGCCAGGACAUCCUGGAACCUGGGAAAUGUAUCUUUUGUGCUGCUGUACCAGAACAGCACAGACUGCUGUUGAUGAAGAAGAGAAGUUUAUUUGACUCAAGAUUUGGGAGGCUGGGAAGACCAUGGCUGAGAAGUAAAGAAGGAGGGUUUUGACUGAUUCAGAGAUUACAGAGACAAUCAAGUUCUGCAGGCCUGUCACCUGAGUCUCAGGUGAGUAUGAAUUCUCCCAGGUUUUUGGCAGAUGGUUGCAGUGACAGGACCAAGGCCCAAUGGGUUAUAGCCAAGUCUAAAGUGAGAUAUGGCAGUAUUCUGUUUUGAAGCUGGGACUAUGAUAGGCAAGCCUGCCACUUGGUCAAAAGCAUCUUCUCUCAUGAUGUCUUCCUUGGUCUUUGCCUCCAGCUGGGUGUCAUAAACCGUGACCUGGAUCCCAAGGCUUCCAUGCACUUUUGUUUGCCAUGGCUGCCACAUUAUGUUGUGGGAGAUGUGCAUACAGGACCUCCCAUUCUGUCAUCUUGCUUAUGUUACUCUCCUUUACGUUUUGCUUUCUGAAAUGAAUGUCAAGUUUGUGAUUUGUAGAUUCAAAAGUUCUAAAAUAAAUCGCUCAAAUGUACACAUUAUGUAAGCUGUGAAUAUUUCUUGUAGGUGCCACAUAUUUAUUAAAAUUUUGGUUGUAAUUUUAAGCUCACUGUAGACAGAAAGGAAUCAUUAAAAUUUAUGUUUUUUUGGUCUGUAUUUAAAUGAUGGUAUUUAAUUUCAAAUCAUUUAGUUUCAAAACUAGAUCUUAUGUCUAGUGUUUUUUUAAAUUUACAUUAUUAAAAGUCAGAAAUAAAAGUCAUCUACUGUUACCAGAUGCUGGCUACUUUGUGUUUCAAUUCUGUAAAAUGUUACUUCAUAUAUUUGGGAACUGUGAUGUUAGGCACAUAUGUUAAUACUUGUUACUGCUUCCCUGUCAGUAGACCCAUUUAUUAUUAUAUAAGGUCUUUUCUUCUUGUAUUUUGUGGAAGUUUUUGAUAUAACAUGUAUUUUGUCAAAAAUGACAGUAUUUGACUUCACGUCUGAUAUUUUUAAAUUGUUUUUAUAUACAGGCCGUAUGUGUUCCAGAUUGUAAUUUGGUCAUUUCUAGGGAGCAUAAAGUUGGAUUUUGUUUCUUGAACUUAUUUAGUCAAAAUAUGUUUUUGAUUGGCAAUUUAUUUAUAUAUAAUUACUAAAAGGGAAUGAGUUCCUAUUGCAUUUUGUUUCUUUUUUGUUUUAGGUUCUGUAGCUAUUUUGUUCCUGUUUUUCUCUCUUGCUAUCUUUCUUAGUGUAUUAUAGAUUUUUGUAGUGACAUGUUUUAAUUCCUUUCUCACUAUCCUGUGUGUGUGUGUGUGUGUGUGUGUGUGUGUGUGUGUGUACUAUAGGUAUUUUUUCCUUCCUCUCUCUCUCUUUCUCUCU